CCUACGGGAGGCAGCAGUGGGGAAUAUUGCGCAAUGGGCGAAAGCCUGACGCAGCAACGCCGCGUGAGGGAUGAAGGUCUUCGGAUCGUAAACCUCUGUCAGCAGGGAAGAACGGUCACUGUGCUAAUCAGCAGUGAAUUUACGGUACCUGCAAAGGAAGCACCGGCUAACUCCGUGCGAGCAGCCGCGGGAAUACGGAGGGUGCGAGCGUUCAUCGGAAUUACUUGGCGUAAAGCGCUCGUAGGCGGUAUGUCAAGUCAAGGGUGAAAUCCCCGCGCUAAACGGGGGAACUGCAUUGGAAAGUGGCAAAGUGGAGUGUGUGAGAGGAUAGUGGAAGUCCAGGUGUAGGAGUGAAA
rnacentral:rRNA from 1 species